GAUGAACGCUGGCGGCGUGCCUAAUACAUGCAAGUCGAGCGAACGGACGAGAAGCUUGCUUCUCUGAUGUUAGCGGCGGACGGGUGAGUAACACGUGGAUAACCUACCUAUAAGACUGGGAUAACUUCGGGAAACCGGAGCUAAUACCGGAUAAUAUUUUGCACCGCAUGGUUCAAAAGUGAAAGACGGUCUUGCUGUCACUUAUAGAUGGAUCCGCGCUGCAUUAGCUAGUUGGUAAGGUAACGGCUUACCAAGGCAACGAUGCAUAGCCGACCUGAGAGGGUGAUCGGCCACACGGGAGCUGAGACACGGUCCAGACUCCUACGGGAGGCAGCAGUAGGGAAUCUUCCGCAAUGGGCGAAAGCCUGACGGAGCAACGCCGCGUGAGUGAUGAAGGUCUUCGGAUCGGAAAACUCUGUUAUUAGGGAAGAACAUAUGUGUAAGUAACUGUGCACAUCGUGACGGUACCUAAUCAGAAAGCCACGGCUAACUACGUG
rnacentral:rRNA from 1 species